CGUGAGACAGUUCGGUCCCUAUCCGUCGUGGGCGUAGGAAAUUUGAGAGGAGCUGUCCUUAGUACGAGAGGACCGGGAUGGACAUACCUCUGGUGUACCAGUUGUCGUGCCAACGGCAUAGCUGGGUAGCUAUGUGUGGACGGGAUAAGUGCUGAAAGCAUCUAAGCAUGAAGCCCCCUCAAGAUGAGAUUUCCCAACUUCGGUUAUAAGAUCCCUCAAAGAUGAUGAGGUUAAUAGGUUCGAGGUGGAAGCAUGGUGACAUGUGGAGCUGACGAAUACUAAUCGAUCGAAGACUUAAUCAAAA
rnacentral:rRNA from 1 species